rnacentral:pre_miRNA from 1 species
UAAAUACUCCCUCCGUUCGGAAUUACUUGUCGCAGAAAUGGAUGUAUCUAGAUGUAUUUUAGUUCUAGAUACAUCCAUAUUCGAGACAAGUAAUUCCGAACGGAGGGAGUAUACU